CAUGACUGGCCUGGAGGACACAGAGGGACAGAGGAAUCCUUCACUUGUGAGCCUGGGAGCCACGGUCGGGGUGGUGGUGGCCACGGCUGUGCUCAUAACCCCCGUCUAUGUGAUGCUGAUCUUCCUCUGGUGGAAGCAAAGGUGAGUGGUCCAGGACAGGCUCUCACCUGGGCUUCCCCACUGAGUUUGCAGCUGUGGGAGAUGGAGAAAGAUGAGCUAGUGCAGGGCAGAGCCCAGAGAACACGAGGACAGAAAGGAGGCUGAGCUAAAACAGCACUGAAUCUGUGCCUACUUCCUUAGAGUCUCAGCUGGAGAGCAGGCGCACGCCUUUAAUCUCAGCACUCCAGAGCAAAGGCAAGCAUAUCUCUGUGAGUUCGAGACCAGCCUGGUCUACAAGAGAAAGCUCUAGGACAGGCUCCAAAGCUACAGAGAAACCCUGUCUCAAAAAACCAAAAAAAAAAAAAAAAAAAAAAGCAAAACAAAACAAAAUAUUUCCAGCUGGAAAUUAGAGAAUCAAAUGCAGAUGAACACAGCCUGCUCCUAAAGAAUUCAAGGGGCUCACGGGAGCCCCAGGGCCUAACUGCUCAUUUAGAAAAGGCUGUGGCUGCUAAACAGAUUCUGAGGUAGACCAGCAUUCAGAGAAAACAUGUCACAGGAAGUGAAACCCGUGAAGAAAGACAACUGUUUGAGUUGGGGAUAUGGUAUUGAAACAGAAAUUAAAAAUAGUAUUUAACCCACAAGUAAGAAGAAAAUGUCUGAGAAGAAACUAUACUAAAAGAGGCAAAAACAUUUUGAGCCCUAAAAACAAACCACGGCCGAAAGAAAUUUCAGAACAGCUGGAAAGAUGGUAUAGUGGGUAAUUAGUUGCCCCACAAACACAAGAACAUGAACUCCAACCCCAGGAUCCACUUAAAAAGUUGUCUAUGUUGACAGAUAUUUGGACAGACAGAGACACUAGGACCCCAGACCAGUCUCAAAAAUGUAGAUGGACAUCACCUGGAGGAUGCCACCUAAGGAUGUCCUCUGCCAUCCUCAGGGGUGUGCACACAUGCAGAUGUAAACAUACACAUACACACUUCCAGAAAAUAAAUUUCAAAAAGUAGGGAAAUACUAAAAUAUAUAAGAACAUUUUAUUUGUAUAAAAUUUAUGCAAUAACUUCGUACACUGCAAAACACUCUAAAAUUCACUGCAUUUCCUAUUCAAAUCCCAAUUGUGUUUUUGUAAAGAGAAAUGAUUUGUCUUGUAAAAUUCAAAAGAUUGUGAGAAACAAUCAUGAAGACAGAGUAGGGGACACCCGAAUCCCAGCAUUGGGAAGUACAGAGAGGGGAAUCAAGAGAACAAGGUCAUCUGGAGUUACAUAGAAAGUUGAAGGACAGCCUGGGCUCAUUGAGACCUUGUACACAUGCAGAGAGAGAGAGAAAGAGAGAGAGAGAGAGAGAGCGCCAAGUGUGGACUGCGUGCAGAGCAGAUUUAAAUCUGUGAUGAGUAGACGAUUACAGGGCAGGAGCAGAGAUAGCAGAUAGUGGAGUGUAACGGAAAGCACAAAAAUAAAGUGUGAAGACCUAGGCCGUGGUUUUCAGAAGGGCUCAGCCCUCCAUAGGAGAGAAGAGGAACAGAGAAUUGUGAGAGCAAUGACGGGGAAGCAGCAGAUCUGACUGAGAUUCUGACCCUGAGACUGAAUCUGCAGGGGGCAGCAGCCUGCACUCACAGGGAAAGCCAGGGAGUCAGGUUCCAGGGCAACAAAAGGGAGGCCUGGUGAGUGCAGAGCAGGGAAAGCAGGGAAGGGACAUGAGUUUAAGGCAGGGGAAGGAAGCAAAGGGAGAAGGACAUGGACAAGGGGAAAUGGACAGGAGAGCUGUCCUCUGAUUUGCUGUGCUGUGCAGAAGGACAGCUGAGGACUGUCUUCAGGUCCUGGUGAUUCUCAGACCUGUCCUUGAAUGUCUUCUACAGAGCUGUUUGCUGCCUGGGCCCCUAAUGAUGUCUGAAUAACUGAGAGGCUUGGCUGCCGGACUGACAUUGUUUCUUCUGUUACAGACUAAACUGAAAACCCUAGCCAGGUGACUGCAAGAAACAGGCAAGGGGCUGUUUAGUGGUUUGAAUAAGAAUGGACCCCAUAGACUCAAGGAUUUGCAUGCUUUGACACCAGGGAAUUGCACAUAGGGUGUAUGGCCUUGUUGGAGUUUUGGGACUUGGUGGAAGGAUUAGGUCACUGGGGUUUGGGUUUGUAUUUCAAAUGCUCAAACAAGGACCAGUGUCUCUCCCCUGCUGCCUGCAGAUCCAGACAUAGAACAAUCACAUCUUCCUACCCUUCACGGAACUGAUGACACCUUGUCAUGGGGAACGGUGGGAUGAUGCUCAUACAGAAGCUGUCCUGAGGUCAUCACAGUCUCUGCCCCACUUCUCAUGUUUCUACCUCGGUCACAGUCUAAGUGUGUCCACUCUCAGAGAUGUCCCAGGCAGUCUGGCAUGACUCACACAUUGCUGCUCUGACCCUUCUUUGUAAAAUGAGUACACAGAAUGUUCUGGAAUGAAAAGAACUAGAGAGAGUCAUCGAUAGAGCUUCAUGGAAGGUGUCACCUGUCCCUGGCCUUUAGGUCAGGCUGAGCGAUAUCCUGCAGCCAGAAAUAUGUCUCUGUGCAGAGCGGAAGCCCUCAAGGACUCAGGGUGACUGAAGUCCCCUCAGAUCUGCCAUUCAAUGAUGGCAUGGCCUGAGUCAUGUGGGUGGGAGGACAACAAGGCUCUUGCAGAAACAGCAUAUGCUUUAAAAUCCAUGUGGAAUCCUAAUCCAUUGUGAACUGGGCAGCAGGGGGCAGGCCAGGGCAGUGAGCAUCCAGCAACCCUUGCUGUAUCCUGAGAAUUUAAAUGGGCUGAUAAAGAACAGGAAGGGUCAAAGAGCAGAAAAAGGGACCAUAUUCUAGAGUUGGGUUCUGAGGGAACAUCCAUUCCAAAACUUUCAUAUACAGCAUCUCUUAACUGACCAUGGUCAGAUACAUGGGUCAGCUUUUCUCUCCCCGAAAGAGCAUGUGCUGGUCCAGGCAGGCUCUUCUUUAGCAUGAGAGAGAAGCUGACACACAGAGAGAGCCAGCAAGAUAAGAGAUGGAAUGAGAGAGUGGGAAGGGGAGGCAGAGAUAAGGAGAUUGUGGGGUCUGACCCCAACUCUCUCGCUCACAUCAGAAGGCCCCGGGGGAUGUGUGUCACUUUAUAGUAAUUCUCUCCUGAGAAUGAGGAGCACAGGCAGAUAUCAGACGGGAGACAGAAGAGACCGCAUGGGACUUAUGAAGGACUGUACAGACAGGAGGUCGAGGUGGGAGAAAGGAGAGACCAGCAUGGUGAGGUCAAGGCUGCAUCUUUCAGUCAAACAUGGGGGUGAGGCUUAAGAGCAAGGCCAUCUUGUCAGUGACCACAAGGGCAGAUCUUCUGCAAUAUGAGAAAGAAGCCAGAAUGAUAAAGGAAGUUGCUGGUCACAGAGAGGUGGAGGUGGGGAGGUCCUGCCCCCAUACAGUCCUCCACAUGAGAAGGCCCCGGGGAGUGUGGGUCAUUUUACUGAUUCUCUCCUGACUCCUGAGCACCCCAGGGUCCCUCCACGGGGCCUCCUCUCCUUCCUGAUGGCUCUGCUGGUCCCAUUCCCUGGAGGGAAUCAGACCAUGGAAUGGCUGCUGCUUCUGCUGCUGCCAGCAGCCUGCCUGCAAGCUGGUAACUCAGGAAGAUCCAACAGAGUAAAUACCUUUGGUGUCAACCAACCAGCACACCUCUCUGGUGUCCAGGGCGGCUCCAUCGAGAUCCCCUUCUCCUUCUCCUUCCCCUGGGAGUUGGCAAAAGAUCCACAGAUGAGGAUUCUCUGGAGAUGGAAGGCCUUCCAUGGGGAAUUUAUCUACAACUCUUCCUCGGGUUUUAUACAUGAGAAUUUCAAGGACCGGCUCAUCCUGAACUGGACACAGCCUCAGACAUCUGGAGUCCUCAGAAUCCUGGACUUGAAGGAGAAGGACCAGACAGUGUACUUCUGCCAAGUUCGUCUGAACAUGAAAGAUGGCAUACAGGAAUGGCAGUCAACUGAUGGAACCCAACUCACUAUUACCAGCGCAGUCAGCACCACCAUGCAGAGCCCCUCCAUCGUCACCUCUGCAGUCACCACGGCUGGACUGGAGGACACAGAGGGCCAGAGGAAUCCUUCACUUGUGAACCUGGGAGCCAUGGUCGGGGUGGUGGUGGCCACGGCUGUGCUCAUAACCCCCAUCUAUGUGCUGAUGAUCUUCCUCUGGUGGAAGAAAAGAGCUGUUUGCUGCCUGGGCCCCUAAUGACAUCUGAACACAGACAAUAACUGAGACUCAUGGCUGCCACAUUGACACUGUUUCUUCUCCUUCAGGCCAGCAGACUGAACUGAAAACCCUCGGCAGAUCCAGACAUGAAACUCUUAGCCACUUCUCCAGCACCAGGUCUGCCUGCAUGCCACUGUAAUUCCUGCCGUGAUGAUAAUGGACUAUACUGUGAUCCUGUAAGCCAGCACCAAUUAAAUGUUUUCCU